rnacentral:tRNA from 1 species
UCCCUGGUGGCUCAGACAGUAAAGAAUCUGCUUGCAAUGCAGGAGACCUGGGUUCGAUCCUGGUUUGGGAA